rnacentral:rRNA from 1 species
AGCAGCCGCGGUAAUUCCAGCUCCAAUAGCGUAUAUUAAAGUUGUUGCAGUUAAAAAGCUCGUAGUUGAAUUUCGGGGUCAGCAGGUUGGUCGUGCCACUGGUAUGCACUGGCCUUGGUGAUUCCUCCUUCUUGAAGAACCGUGAUGCCACUCAGUUGGUGUUGCGGGGACACAGGACUGUUACUUUGAAAAAUUAGAGUGUUUAAAGCAGGCACAUGCCUGAAUACAUUAGCAUGGAAUAAUGGAAUAGGACGAUCGAUCCUAUUUUGUGGUUUCUAGGGUUGACGUAAUGAUUAAUAGGGAUAGUUGGGGGCAUUAGUAUUCAAUUGUCAGAGGUGAA